AAGCAUAUCAAUAAGCGGAGGAAAAGAAACUAACAAGGAUUCCCCUAGUAACUGCGAGUGAAGCGGGAAAAGCUCAAAUUUAAAAUCUGGCGGUCUUCGGCCGUCCGAGUUGUAAUCUGGAGAAGCGUCUUCCGCGCUGGACCGUGUACAAGUCUCUUGGAACAGAGCGUCAUAGAGGGUGAGAAUCCCGUCUUUGACACGGACUACCAGUGCUUUGUGAUGCGCUCUCGAUGAGUCGAGUUGUUUGGGAAUGCAGCUCAAAACGGGUGGUAAAUUCCAUCUAAAGCUAAAUAUUGGCGAGAGACCGAUAGCGAACAAGUACCGUGAGGGAAAGAUGAAAAGCACUUUGGAAAGAGAGUUAAACAGUACGUGAAAUUGCUGAAAGGGAAACGCUUGAAGUCAGUCGCGUUUGCUAGAACUCAGCCUUGCUUCUGUGAGGUGCAUUUUCUAGUGAACGGGCCAGCAUCAGUUUUGGCUGCCGGACAAAGGCCUUGGGAAUGUGGCACCUUCGGGUGUGUUAUAGCCCUCGGUCGUAUACGGUGGCUGGGACUGAGGAUCUCAGCACGCCUUCAUGGCGGGGGUUCGCCCACCUUCGUGCUUAGGAUGC
rnacentral:rRNA from 1 species